rnacentral:rRNA from 1 species
CUCCUCAAUGAAUAAAUUUAAAUAGCUGCAGUAUAAAUAACUGUACAAAGGUAGCAUAAUAAUUUGUUUGUUAAUUGAAAACUAGAAUGAAUGAUUUAAUGAAAUAUAAACUGUAUCAAAUUUAAAUAAUAAAUUUAUUAUUUAAAUAAAAAAAUUUAAAUAAUUUUUUAAAGACGAGAAGACCCUAUAGAAUUUUAAUAAUAAUUUAUUUAAAUUUAAAUAAAUUAUUAUAUUAAUUGGGGAAAUUUUAAAAUUUUAAAAAUUUUUAAUUAAAAAAACAUAUAUUUUUGAAUAUUUAUUAUUUUUUAAAAAAAUAAAUUUAAUUACCUUAGGGAUAACAGCAUAAUUUUUUUAAAAAG